rnacentral:rRNA from 1 species
GGACCCGCACAAGCAGCGGAGCAUGUGGUUUAAUUCGAAGCAACGCGAAGAACCUUACCAGGGCUUGACAUCCCUCUGACAGGUGGGUAACGCCACCCUCUCUUCGGAGCAGAGGUGACAGGUGGUGCAUGGUUGUCGUCAGCUCGUGUCGUGAGAUGUUGGGUUAAGUCCCGCAACGAGCGCAACCCUUGUCAUUAGUUGCCAUCAGGUGAUGCUGGGCACUCUAAUGAGACUGCCGGGGAUAACUCGGAGGAAGGUGGGGAUGACGUCAAAUCAUCAUGCCCCUUAUGUUCUGGGCUACACACGUGCUACAAUGGCCGGUACAGCGAGAGGCGAACCCGCGAGGGGGAGCAAAACUCCAAAACCGGUCCCAGUUCGGAUUGCAGGCUGAAACUCGCCUGCAUGAAGUCGGAGUUGCUAGUAAUCGCGAAUCAGCAUGUCGCGGUGAAUGCGUUCCCGGGUCUU